rnacentral:misc_RNA from 1 species
ACGAACAAUUUCUCAAGCAAACUACCCUGCAUUCAUGUAGUGUCAUUGUCUCAUUGAACCAAGAAUUUCGCGUAUCAGGCAGUUUAACACCAGAAUACUUAAUAAAUCCAUCUCCUGUGCAAUUCAGAGGGAUCUUCCGGACACAACCACUAGACCAGUCAGAUCUUUCCCAAUCAUCAGGAUGUUUUGGCUCGAAUUUAUCUAAACAUUGACAAAAAGGAUCACUCAAAAUGUUGCAAGUCCCAUAUGCACCACAUAAUUUGUAGGUGUCACAGUCAUCCACAGCUGCAGAGUGGUAAUUUACCCAUCCCCGAGCCUUUCCAAUCCAAAUGAUACGCAUAGCUUUCCCAUAAGGCUCUAAAACAA